rnacentral:rRNA from 2 species
CGCGAUACAGGGUGACAGCCCCGUACACAAAAGCGCAUGUGCUGUGAGCUCGAUGAGUAGGGCGGGACACGUGGUAUCCUGUCUGAAUAUGGGGGGACCAUCCUCCAAGGCUAAAUACUCCUGACUGACCGAUAGUGAACCAGUACCGUGAGGGAAAGGCGAAAAGAACCCCGGCGAGGGGAGUGAAAAAGAACCUGAAACCGUGUACGUACAAGCAGUGGGAGCACAGGUUUACCUGUGUGACUGCGUACCUUUUGUAUAAUGGGUCAGCGACUUAUAUUCUGUAGCAAGGUUAACCGAAUAGGGGAGCCGGAGGGAAACCGAGUCUUAAUUGGGCGUUAAGUUGCAGGGUAUAGACCCGAAACCCGGUGAUCUAGCCAUGGGCAGGUUGAAGGUUGGGUAACACUAACUGGAGGACCGAACCGACUAAUGUUGAAAAAUUAGCGGAUGACCUGUGGCUGGGGGUGAAAGGCCAAUCAAACCGGGAGAUAGCUGGUUCUCCCCGAAAGCUAUUUAGGUAGCGCCUCGUGAAUUCAUCUCCGGGGGUAGAGCACUGUUUCGGCUAGGGGGCCAUCCCGGCUUACCAACCCGAUGCAAACUGCGAAUACCGGAGAAUGUUAUCACGGGAGACACACGGCGGGUGCUAACGUCCGUCGUGAAGAGGGAAACAACCCAGACCGCCAGCUAAGGUCCCAAAGUCAUGGUUAAGUGGGAAACGAUGUGGGAAGGCCCAGACAGCCAGGAUGUUGGCUUAGAAGCAGCCAUCAUUUAAAGAAAGCGUAAUAGCUCACUGGUCGAGUCGGCCUGCGCGGAAGAUGUAACGGGGCUAAACCAU